rnacentral:rRNA from 1 species
UACAGAGGGGGCAAGCGUUGUUCGGAAUUACUGGGCGUAAAGGGCGCGUAGGCGGCCCGCUAAGUCGAACGUGAAAUCCCCGGGCUCAACCCGGGAACUGCGUCCGAUACUGGCGGGCUUGAAUCCGGGAGAGGGAUGCGGAAUUCCAGGUGUAGCGGUGAAAUGCGUAGAGAUCUGGAGGAACACCGAUGGCGAAGGCAGCCUUCUGGGCCAACACUGACGCUCAUGCACGAAAGCGUGGGGAGCAAACAGG